AUGUUAAAUUUAACAAAUUUUUAUAAUGUAGUAACAAUGUAGUAUAAUGUAGUAACAAAUUUUUAUAAUGUAUAAUGUAUUUAUUUUUUUAAAGGCAAAUGGCACAAUGCUGUGCUUGUAGUAGAUAGUUUCAUCGUGAAUGCGAAAAAAUUCCACUAAGUGCCUAUGAGCAGGAAGAUGAAAUUUGGAACUGUAAUGAUUGCCACAACCAGUCAAAUAAAUAAUAAUAAAACAAUAAUACUGUUAUACAGCAUGGGUAUAUAAUUUUUAAUAUUACGGACUGUUAAUGUCGAACAGUCAUAAUUACUUGCGUAGCAUCCAAAUAUACAAUAUUAAAAAAAAUGAUUUUAGUUUAGGUUGAUAAUAUUUAAUUUAUGCAGACUAUACUUGAUUUAAUGUAAAACUUUUAUGUUGGGAGGUCAAUAGCAUUAACUGACCAUAAACAUUACAUGUAGUAUUAUGUUACUAUAUAUAAAUUUUAUUUUAUUAUAAUGCACGUACUCCACACAACCUUGCUUUGCAAAAUGCCUAGAAAAUACAAUUCUUAAAAUGAUUUGCCAUAAAGUAAUACCACUGAUGGCAUUGUACUGAAAAUCCAUGCCAAAAUUUUAUAAUAGGUAUCAUUUCAAAAUAGUGGUGGCCUCCAUGUUAGCUUAAUGAUUGGUAUUCUUGCAAAAGAAUUAAACGGCAUGUCAUUAAAAA